rnacentral:rRNA from 1 species
UACGUAGGGGGCAAGCGUUGUCCGGAAUCCUUGGGCGUAAAGCGCGCGUAGGCGGUCCGGUAAGUCGGCUGUGAAAGUCCAGGGCUCAACCCUGGGAUGCCGGUCGAUACUGCCGGACUAGAGUUCGGAAGAGGCGAGUGGAAUUCCCGGUGUAGCGGUGAAAUGCGCAGAUAUCGGGAGGAACACCAAUGGCGAAGGCAGCUCGCUGGGACGUUACUGACGCUGAGACGCGAAAGCGUGGGGAGCGAACAGG